AUAAAAUAAAAUGUAGAGAAAAGUAACAGACAAUUUAAAGAAUAUAGAAAUAAACAACACCCCCAAUCCGGACCCUCAUUGUAUACACGAGAAUCUGGAUGGAAACACAGAAUAUAUAGAAUAAUAGAUAAGGACAGUAGGAAGUGAUGCAUUAAUAAAAAAAAGAUAGAAAAAAAUAAUAACUGUUUGAGAAUAAAGACAUGAAACACCCCUGGGUGUUGAAACAGUAACGGAUUGCUAUGUACUCAUAUUGGUAAUAAAUGCUAAAAGUUUACAUGCGGACA
rnacentral:lncRNA from 1 species